UGCAAACAUGCAACAUCAUUACACACAGUACAAGGAGUCAGACUGGCAUAUGAGGAGCAAAGGAACCCAGGCAGUAGCAUCGUUUCACAAUGUUUCCAUCACCAUCAUCAGUGGAUGCCUUUGCCGUCCGUAGCCUGAGAUUUCAGAUUUGCAGCAAAAAAAAAUUGAUUUUCUCAUUUAUUGGAAUGCUGUGCAGGUUGUACCUUGCAGCCAUCCAUUACAAUGUCACCAAGCCGUAACAAAAGCAGGAGAGGGAAAGUACAAGGCUAUGUUCCCAAAACACACAAGUGACAUACCUUAUGUGGAGGAUGUGAUCAGGCUUGUGUUUGAUGAGGUAUUUGAAGAUAAGCUGAAGGAAACCCCGAUUCCAAUGGACCUGGCAUCACAGUUUGAGAGACCUUCAAAGGAGGACGUGAUUGCAUGCCAUCUUCAGUGCAGGGGGUGUCGAAAGCCAAAAUUGUGACCGAUCUGAUCAGGAAGCUCCAAGCAUAUCUGGAGAACAACACACGACAGGAUG